GGGAGACGCCUCGCGCUCUAACACGUGACUCCACGGCCGGUGCGGCGCGUAUCACGCAUGCGCAAGGCGAAGCGGGCGUGGCGCUCCAACAGGUGACUCCAAGGGUGGAGUUCUCAGCGCGCAGGCGCCUUCGGGCAGUCCUGAUCGACGGAACUCUGCAAGGAUGGCUCUCAGGAAGCUCUGUUCCAGAAUGGAGGAAUUUCUUAAAGAAAAUGAGGAAAUGUGAAUUCUCCGAAGUAGCUGCACAGUAAGUCCCCUACAUGUGAACCUUCAAAGAUACGAACGUGCAUCUGGUUCCAGCAAGGAACCAGAACCUGUGCCGUCAACCUCAAGAUAAUUCCAGAAUGGAAAAGGCAGAAAUUCUCAGCUGUGUUUAAUAAUAGAGACAUGAAGAAGUCUACAAGAAGAGACCCUUGGCCCAAGAUUAUUAUUGAACCAUCUGGGAAAAGAAGGGUCUCUUCCUUGCAUAAAGAGAAAAAGCCAAGAGACUGAAGUGGAGCCUAUUUUGCCACAGUCUGAGGCUCGUAGCACGUGGUCAGUUUUGGAAACCACCUGGCCAAUGGCUAAAUGAACCAGAAUCAAGAGGGAAUGAAGCCAUGAAACUGGAGGACCCAGAGGAAUCCGUGAUUAGGACUUCCUAAUUUUUUCUUCACCUCCAGAGCACCCAGCCUAGGGCCUGACAUGGGCAGGUAGUCAGCAAACACUGUCAGUGUGGCCAGAGGCACCCCAAAGGCAACUCACCUUCCUGGCUACCAGCUGGAUGGCAUCAUCCUCAAAAGCCUUUACGUGUCUGAGUCGGGACAGUAGGAUCUGCCGCAGCUGGCUAUUCCUAUGUAUUCAUUUUUGCAGAACUCCUUGGCCCAGCUUCUGGGACUAUAAGAACAGCUCGAGAAUGGCCCUACCAGUCGGCUGGACACCCGGUUCAUCAUGAUGCGCUCUGGCAGAUCCAUGGUGUUAGCAAUGGUCAGGACCACAAGGCGGGCCUCCUUGUGAGUGGGCCAGUCAAAGAGAUUGUACAUUACGUCUUGCUUCUGGGUCCACAGAAGGUCAAGCUGCCAAGAAACGGAGAGAGACACAGGGUCAACCACAGAGAACGAGCCAGGCCCCCAGGGAGAAGCCGGUUACCGCUGCUUCAGCAGCAUGUGCCCUCAGGUCACACCACCUGAGCAGCAAGGAUGUCGAUGGACACAUGCCCCUCCCCCAACCAGAGAAUGUGCCCAAGUGAAGGAGAAGGGAGCCAGGACUUCCCUCCUGCCUUGUAUCUGCUCCCAAACAUCAGUCCAGAGCCACUGCGGUCCUCCCGUGGGCGCCUUCUCACCUCAUCCACAAGCAGCACGGUGGUCUCCUGAGAGGACCCUUGAGAGCGGAAUCGCUUAGCCAGCAGCGCUGCUGCAUGGUUGGCUGUUGCCCUUCUACCUGUCAGCUUCUGCAGUGAGGGGAAAAGAAUGGGAGUGGUACACUCUAAGGAUGUGACUCCCCUUUUAAGAGUUUCAAGUUAAGUCUGCCUAUAGAGGAAGCUAUUUAGCCUGAGGACUUCAGUAUCCUACCCUCUGCCUUCCACCAGGAGGAGAAGAGAAGGCCACAAGAGACAUAAAUUGUGUCUGAAAUGCACAUGAGCCACAGUUCAAUCCCAGAAGCCUCUCCAGAAUCAUCAAUGCAUGACUGGACGUUACUUGUUCUGGGACAGCAGCUCGUGAGUCGAAAGUCCAGCCUACCCUUUUCCAGUGUACUGCCAUGCCUGCUGUAUACUAAUGGUUUUCACCCUCCUGACUGCUAGUGACUAUAUAGAAAGUGAAGAGGAACUAAAAAGCCUCUUGAUGAAAGUGGAG